rnacentral:RNase_P_RNA from 1 species
UGAGUAAGUCAGAUAGUCGCGUGUGCAGUGCCGAAAGGCCGCAUACGAGGAAAGUCCGAGCUCCAUAGGGCAGGGUGCUGGGUAACUCCCAGUGGAGGCGACUCCAAGGAAAGUGCAACAGAAAUAUACCGCCUUCCGGUAGUUUUACUGGUAAGGUAAGGGUGGAAAGGUGAGGUAAGAGCUCACCAGCAGCUAGGCGACUAGGCUGCUCUGUAAACCCCACCUGGAGCAACACCGCAUAGAGGAGAGUUAAGUUGGCCCGACGUUCUCCUGGGUAGGUGGCUUGAGCCAUGCAGCAAUGCAUGGCCUAGAUAGAUGACUAUCGAAUACAGAACUCGGCUUAUAGACUUACUCGUAUC